CAGGCGUCGUCGCACAACAAAGGCCAAGGGCCUUUUUCAUGCGUCGCGCUGCUUUGUCUGGGAGACGCAGCGACACGCGUGCCAAAUCAAAGAAAACGACCUGACCGCCGUCGUCUACGGUGUCGACUAUGAUCGCGGCGUCUUGGCCGUCGGCUCCGCGCUCCCGGUCAAUGGGCGAACCGACCCAACCCACAUGGCGCCAAUGGAGAUCGUCGUGGCAAAGGCCCUUGGCGGCCAUGCUCUCUAUGGCGCGCAGCACACGAGGCACAACACCACGCUCGGCGGCUUCGGUGGCGUCCCGCGCCAGGGGAGACGCAUAAGGCAUCACCAACGCUGGCCACCCACAGAGGCAGAUCGCGCGCGCCCUUCCCUCGCCCCACACCAGGCGCCAUGCCGUGGCUUCGCGCCAGAUACACCCGCCGCUCGUCACAUCGCCCUCGUCGCCGGGUUGGAGAUCGGUCGACUCGUGACCAAACUUGAUGACCACGUCGUCGGCUGACGGAUCACCGACAACGGUCCCGUUGUUGGUCCCGACAUUCUCACAGAGUGCGCGCGCCCUCCACGCGUGUCCAUCCCCGCCGGCGCCCAGGUCUUGGGUCAGCACAUAAUGGCAUACUGUGUCGCCCCGGUCGUUUGCCCCGUGCGCUUUGGUACCGCCGUCGAUCGCGCGGGGCUUGUGCGCAACAUACGAUCUAUUGCCUCCAGUCGGUGUGCAUCGAUGCACACGGUACCCGAUCCACUGGACGCCUUUGUCAGAGGUGCUCACCUUGGCCGCGAGACGCAUCUCGCCUGGGGAUGACAUCGGAGCGCCGUCCGGAUCGAGACUGACCUGGGCGUCCAUCCUGUGCAGCGCGGUGGCGAUAGUGUGCACGAGCAAGGGGUCGGCGCGGUCCAUGAUGGGACCCGCACAGAGUCUCUCGACGGCCGUCCCCUGUGCGGUUGCACCGGCCGGUAACGACGACGAUGCAGUGUCGCCUUGGAGCCAAAAUACGCGCCAUCGAGCAUAGGUCGAGAGGACGACCAAGGGCGCCGUGGCUCCGUGGUAGGCCUUGAACAUGCACAAGAGGUCAUAGACCUGCGACCACACGCGCGGGCUAUUGGCAGCGUCGCCCUCGGCCGCGAGAACGGCGCCGACAAAGGGUCCUUGGCGCUCGGUGUCGUCUUUGGCGACGCGAAACAGGCAAUAGAGAUCGCGCCGGGGCCGAAAGAGGUCGAAACCGCAGAGGAAAAAGUCGAGUCGGUCAGACAGGCCCGUGUCGGCGAGCACGUCGCGUGUGGCAUGGGCGACCAACUCUUUUGUCGCGAUGUGCCAUGUGUGGAGAAGGUUGACGUGUGCCCACGUCACCGAAUGAUGCGUCUCGCACAGAGGCACGGUCGGAUUGCACCCGAAAGCGCAUUCGGUGAGCGCGAUGUGGGGUGCCUUGUUGGUGCGGCGCCCGCGCGAUGCCCGUGGGCGAUCCACAGGCGGCAGCCCUAGGAGCCCUACGCUGGCGUAGCCUGAUUUCGCUGUCGUUUAUGCCAACCAGACCAGAGCAAAACAAAAGAAGAGACGCAAAAGAGAGGCGGCGAUCAAGCGCGCCGGCCACGCAAGGUUUGUCAAUCCAAUGAGGCACCCGCCAUGCAAAAAAUAAAAAAUGG
rnacentral:lncRNA from 1 species